rnacentral:rRNA from 1 species
UACGUAGGGUGCGAGCGUUGUCCGGAAUUAUUGGGCGUAAAGAGCUCGUAGGCGGUGUGUCACGUCGGCCGUGAAAACCUGCAGCUUAACUGUGGGCGUGCGGUCGAUACGGGCAUCACUGGAGUUCGGCAGGGGAGACUGGAAUUCCGUGGUGUAGCGGUGAAAUGCGCAGAUAUCAGGAGGAACACCGGUGGCGAAGGCGGGUCUCUGGGCCGAUACUGACGCUGGAGGAGCGAAGGCCGUGGGGAGCAAACAGG